GAGCAAUAUAUACGAAGCCGUGGUUUGUUAAAACUACCAAUUGCCGCGUUAGAAAAAACUUGCCUUUUCCAUUACCAAGUAAAGAACCUUUAUCACGAACAAGAACACGAGGGUUUUACUUUGACAUUCACUUUGCCCUAAAACCCUAAUUGAAAACCGAAGAUGCAAGAAGGCGGAGCCAAAGCGGUGUGUGCAGAGGAAGCUCUUUCUCUUCUCAAUUGCGUCACUCAAUCUCCCUACGAUGAAAACAAAUGCCUUCACCUCUUGCAUUCUUUGCGCGACUGCGUCCUCGCCAAGAAAGUGAAGAACUUUUCCCUAGCUGGACAAGAAAAACAGAAAACUGAACCCAGUAAUCAGAAGGUUUGAUUAUAGAUUGGUAUCAUCACUGCUUCACAAAUGCCUUCUAAUUCAUAUAUUUAUGUACCAGAAGCUAUUCAGUUUCAAAUUUGAAUUUCAAAUAUUCACAAAUAAUUUUGAUUUAGACAGUUUUUUUGAUUUCAAGUGUAAGUUGAAAGGGAAGUUAAGUAAGUUGCUUGCUCUGCAUCUCUCAUCAUCGGAUGUUGUGCAAGUUUUUCCUAACCUGGCCACCUUAAUCGUAAUUAUGGCCUGAGGUUAAUACAACCAAACAUUUCCUCUUUACCUUGUUCAGUUUAAACACUGAACACUUUUGCUACAUGGGAUGGAAUGUAUGAUCUGUUUUAAAUGUAUGUGUUUCUAGUUAACAGCGAAUACAAGUAUAGCAUUUUAAUGGAUGGGUUCUCUGGCUUUAUAAGAGAACUUUUAUCGGUA